UCUCUGGUGGCUCAGAUGGUAAAGAGUCUGCCUGCAGUGCAGGAGACCCAGGUUCGAUUCCUGGAUCGGGAA
rnacentral:tRNA from 1 species